rnacentral:rRNA from 1 species
UACGUAGGGGGCAAGCGUUGUCCGGAUUUAUUGGGCGUAAAGAGCGUGUAGGCGGCCAGGUAGGUCCGUUGUGAAAACUAGAGGCUCAACCUCUAGACGUCGAUGGAAACCAUCUGGCUAGAGUCCGGAAGAGGAGAGUGGAAUUCCUGGUGUAGCGGUGAAAUGCGCAGAUAUCAGGAAGAACACCCGUGGCGAAGGCGACUCUCUGGGACGGUACUGACGCUGAGACGCGAAAGCGUGGGGAGCGAACAGG